rnacentral:lncRNA from 1 species
AAUGAAUAAUCAGUCUCUGUCACAGCCUUAGGAUAUCAACAGAGGCAGCAAAGGUAUGUGGAGACCAAAGCCAAGGGGCUGUUUUCCUAAGGGAAUUUACACUGAUUCGAAGAGAGAGUCUACAUGAAGAUUUCCUGUCUGACCUCUUGAAUAGUCACAAAACUGAAGACACGGAGUGUGGGUUGGCCAGAGAGAAACCGGAAGAGAAAAGGGCAGUGGAAUCCUUUCAAAUCAUCAAAUACCUUUUCAGCUCACAGACUGGCUCAUUUUCAUUAUGUACUUUUAAAAGAAGGAAACCUGAAAUAGGUUCUUUCUAUACAGCACAUGGUGAUUCCUUUGCUAGUAAGAUCUUUUUCGUCUGUUCAUGACAUUGGAAAAUAAAACUAUGGAGUCAUACCUCAUUGGGUUUUUUAUGUUCUUUUUCUCCUAUGGCAUAUAAAAUUGAAUAUCCAGCUCCUUCAGAAAUAAACAUAUAUCCCUCAAUAAGCUCAACUUUCAGUAACAUUUAAAACUUCAAAG